UGGCUCCAGCAUNGAUGAAGAACGCAGCGAAAUGCGAUAAGUAAUGUGAAUUGCAGAAUUUAGUGAAUCAUCGAAUCUUUGAACGCACAUUGCGCCCUUUGGCAUUCCUUAGGGCAUGCCUGUUCGAGCGUCAUCUACCCACCCCUCAAGCCUUGCUUGUCGUUGGGCGCAUGUCCCCCCCGGGUAACCCGGCGGAGGACUCGCCCUAAAAUCAUUGGCGGCCCCCGAAUCGGCGUGGAGUCCAGCACUUUUGCGGCUCCGAGCCGGCGCGUCGGCGUCCAGCGAAGCUACUUUUAUUACUUUUGACCUCGGAUCAGGUAGGGAUACCCGCUGA
rnacentral:misc_RNA from 1 species